AGAGUUUGAUCCUGGCUCAGAACGAACGCUGGCGGCGUGCUUAACACAUGCAAGUCGAGUGCGCGGUUGUAGCAAUACAACUGGCGCACGGCGCACGGGUGCGUAACACGUGGGUAACCUGCCCUUUGGUGGGGAAUAACUCCGCGAAAGCGGAGCUAAUUCCGCAUAAGAUCCGCAAGGAUGAAAGCCGCAAGGCGCCGAAGGAGGGGCCCGCGCCCGAUUAGCUAGUUGGUAGGGUAACGGCCUACCAAGGCUUUGAUCGGUAGCUGGUCUGAGAGGAUGAUCAGCCACACUGGAACUGAGACACGGUCCAGACUCCUACGGGAGGCAGCAGUGGGGAAUCUUGCACAAUGGGCGAAAGCCUGAUGCAGCGACGCCGCGUGGGGGAUGAAGCAUUUCGGUGUGUAAACCCCUUUCGAUCCGGACGAAACCCCGCAAGGGAUUGACGGUACGGAUAUAAGAAGCCCCGGCUAACUACGUGCCAGCAGCCGCGGUAAGACGUAGGGGGCCAGCGUUGUUCGGAAUUACUGGGUGUAAAGGGUUCGUAGGCGGUGCGGCAAGUUGGGAGUGAAAUCUCUGGGCUUAACCCAGAGGCUGCUUCCAAAACUGCUGUGCUUGAGUGUGGGAGAGGCGCGUGGAAUUGCAGGUGUAGCGGUGAAAUGCGUAGAUAUCUGCAGGAACACCCGUGGCGAAAGCGGCGCGCUGGACCACUACUGACGCUGAGGAACGAAAGCUAGGGGAGCAAACAGGAUUAGAUACCCUAGUAGUCC
rnacentral:rRNA from 1 species